rnacentral:rRNA from 1 species
GUGCUUACACAUGCAAGUCGAACGAACCUUCGGGUUAGUGGCGGACGGGUGAGUAACGCGUGAGAAUCUGCCCUCAGGAGGGGGAUAACGGUUGGAAACGACCGCUAAUACCCCAUAUGCCUAUUGGUGAAACGAAUUUCGCCUGAGGAUGAGCUCGCGUCUGAUUAGCUAGUUGGUGAGGUAAUGGCUCACCAAGGCUUCGAUCAGUAGCUGGUCUGAGAGGAUGAUCAGCCACACUGGGACUGAGACACGGCCCAGACUCCUACGGGAGGCAGCAGUGGGGAAUUUUCCGCAAUGGGCGAAAGCCUGACGGAGCAACGCCGCGUGAGGGACGAAGGCCUCUGGGCUGUAAACCUCUUUUCUCAAGGAAGAAGAUAUGACGGUACUUGAGGAAUAAGCCACGGC